CCCUGACUUUAUAUCCUGAGGAUUCUCAAGAAUGGGAAAGCCCUAUCUAUUUCCAAGCCUAAAAAUUUCCCUAGGCUGUCUACAAGACCCAUAGGUCUUAAGGUGGUAUUAAUACUAUUUGGGACAUCACACAGGCAUUGACAAAGAAUUAUAUUAAGCAGAUUGCAAAUGUUUUACUAAAAUAUAAUUUUGGUCACAGAUCCUCUUUUGGACCUUUGUUUCUGCAGAACACCACUCAGAUAACUGUCAGGGAAAGAGACUAAUACUCUAGCAAUAAGAUUCAAAUUUAAAAUGGAAUACUACUAAAAUGUCAUAUUGUCCAAUAUACUAGGGCAAAAUAAACUCAGAACAGUUGGUUCAUAUGGAAACCAAAAAAAAAAAAAAAAACACAGAUAAAUCCAUGCAAUGACCCAUGGAAAGUUGACACAUGCUGAUGCUCUGCAUCCAUCAUUUUGGGGAAAACUCCCAGGUUGAUUCUAUACAUAGUUCAGCAGAAGCCACAUCUGUUCUCUUUCACCAGGAUGUAACUAACUGUGCUCUGGCUUGAUCAGCUGUCUCAAGAUUUUAAGGCCCUUUUGUCCUUUCCCAAUAUAAAUAGCAAGGCAAGGCCUUUUGACUUCACUUUGGAAAACUAUCAAAUCCCAACAGGUGUCGGCCUUUGCUGACCUCUGGGGCCUUUCCUCUUUCAGGAAGGGGACUGUCUACUCUUCCCAAAAGGAAUAGCCCCACAACCUGAUACCACAGAAUGACAGCUGGUCUCCUCUCACCACACAUGUCAGCAAGUAGGAAAGCUCAGAAGAGACAGCCGUGAAUAUGUGGUACAAGCCGCUCCUCUUCAGAAAGCACCCAUUGGGGGAAAAGAAAAAAAGAAAACUGUUGGGAAUCUGGUUUUCUGUGAAUGCAAUUACAAUACAUGUAAAAGAUUUGGAAACUUACGGAUUGUCAUCAGAGAAAAACAAUUGUAUAGAGAUGAGAAAACUCAGGCUCAGAGAAGAGCUGGGAUUAACCCCAUAUCUGCCUGGCCCCAAAACUGCUUCUCUGAACCUGUAUUCCAGGGGGAAACCACUGCUGAUCCCAGAGGUAGCUGUCCAUUAGAAUCUUGUCAUGCUAGGGACAAAGCUCCCGACGUCUAAGAGAACAGAUC
rnacentral:lncRNA from 12 species